CCUGACUUCAGUAGUACAACAAGUAUUAUCAUAAGUGCAAUCACCACCUACAAAUAAAUCAAGAUGAUGCACAAAUUGGUCGCCCUAUGCUUUGUGUUCGGAGUAGUGUUUGCUGGACCUACCCCAAAACUUCCUACAAUUGACAAUGAUGAACUAGACUAUCCUCCCCACGACAACACCAACAGUUCGAAUCAGCAGAUAUCUCGGACUCUCCCCGACGUGCCUGCCUUUUUGAUUCUAGACGUCAUCAACGCAUUAGUCGGAAAU